rnacentral:rRNA from 1 species
GACGAACGCUGGCGGCGUGCUUAACACAUGCAAGUCGAACGGAAAGGCCCUGCUUUUGUGGGGUGCUCGAGUGGCGAACGGGUGAGUAACACGUGAGUAACCUGCCCUUGACUUUGGGAUAAAUUCAGGAAACUGGGGCUAAUACCGGAUAGGAGCUCCUGCUGCAUGGUGGGGGUUGGAAAGUUUCGGCGGUUGGGGAUGGACUCGAGGCUUAUCAGCUUGUUGGUGGGGUAGUGGCUUACCAAGGCUUUGAAGGGUAGCCGGCCUGAGAGGGUGACCGGCCACAUUGGGACUGAGGUACGGCGCAGACUCCUACGGGAGGCAGCAGUCGGGAAUAUUGCACAAUGGGCGGAAGCCUGAUGCAGCAACGCCGCGUGCGGGAUGACGGCCUUCGGGUUGUAAACCGCUUUCGCCUGUGACGAAGCGUGAGUGACGGUAAUGGGUAAAGAAGCACCGGCUAACUACGUG